UACGUAGGGUGCAAGCGUUGUUCGGAAUUAUUGGGCGUAAAGGGUGCGUAGGCGGUUUGGUAAGUCUGAUGUGAAAUCUAUGGGCUCAACUCAUAGUCUGCAUCGGAAACUGCCGGGCUUGAGUGUGGGAGAGGUGAGUGGAAUUCCUGGUGUAGCGGUGAAAUGCGUAGAUAUCAGGAGGAACACCUGUGGCGAAAGCGGCUCACUGGACCAUAACUGACGCUGAUGCACGAAAGCGUGGGUAGCAAACAGG
rnacentral:rRNA from 1 species